CCACUCAUCACCCUCGCAUUUUUAAAAUUCAUUCAGCUCGUCCUCCGCUCUGAUUUAACAGUACUCACUAGCCUGCUCUCCACCUCCUACACUCAUUACUCUUACAUUUAUAAAACGCACCCUCACCCCUCUGAAAAUCGCAUCUCUUCAGUGUUUCACUGACGGUCUCUUUUCUUCUCCUUUCUUUAUUUUCUUCCUUCUUCUCUUUUCUUAUUCUUCUCUUUACUUCGACUAAGUCUAAGGAGACCGAGAGGGAUUGAAAGAGAGAGAAGGGGAGAGGCUGAGUGUGAGGAUCCGUUCGGCGGUGGGCCAGCGCCGGUAGGAACAGAGGUCGGAGGAGCAGAACCCGACAAACGGCGGCCCUGGAGCCCGACUUCCGGCAAGGCAAAGAUGAUCCGGCGGCCAGAAGCUACCUUUCCCGCGGAUCCGUGCUCUGACCCAGUGAAGUCCUGCGCGAUCUCCGGCGAUUGGGGGCUGUUCUCCGAUGGUUUUUGACGGUAGAGGACUGCCGGCAAACUGCGGAGAACCCGGUUCUGCCAGGGAUGGUUUUCCGGCGAGUUCCGGUGCGAAUCCGGCAAGUCCCAGUGUGUUUCCGGUAGUAUCCUUCCAGCGGCCCGAUGAUGCGUUUUCGACGGCACAGUGACGACUCGGGCAGUGUUCUUCCGGCAAUUUCAGUAGAUUUUCUGUCGAAAAUCCCUAGAAGAUGAAUUAAGAGGCUGCACAAAAGGCUGGUAUGAGGAAGAGGAGAGUAUCAGGAUUGUCCAGAUCUUUAGGAGAUCUUGAUAGCAGUGUCUGAGGCUAGGAUGCCUCCCACUUUUGUGGACUACUAUGUCUAGUCCAUUAUUAUUAUUAUAUUUGGAAAACGAUAUUUAUAUAUUUGUUGAUUUGUAAUAAGGAUACUCUGAGGGAUUUGAUUGUAAAUUUUUUGUGCCAUACAUGGCACAAAUAAUAUUUUUAAUGUGUAAUUAUUCAAUUACACUCUUUCUAUAUAUUUUGAAGUAUUUUCCUUAGAA